rnacentral:rRNA from 1 species
UACGUAGGGUGCGAGCGUUAAUCGGAAUUAUUGGGCGUAAAGGGCUCGUAGGCGGUUUGUCGCGUCGGGAGUGAAAUCCACUGGCUUAACUGGUGGCUUGCUUUCGAUACGGGCAGACUGGAGGUAUGCAGGGGAGAACGGAAUUCCUGGUGUAGCGGUGAAAUGCGCAGAUAUCAAGAGGAACACCUGCGGCGAAGGCGGGUUGCUGGGCCGACACUGACGCUGAUGCGCGAAAGCUAGGGGAGCGAACGGG